rnacentral:rRNA from 1 species
CAGCAGCCGCGGGAAUACGUAGGGUGCGAGCGUUACCCGGAUUUACUGGGCGUAAAGGGCGUGUAGGCGGCCUGGGGCGUCCCAUGUGAAAGGCCACGGCUCAACCGUGGAGGAGCGUGGGAUACGCUCAGGCUAGAGGGUGGGAGAGGGUGGUGGAAUUCCCGGAGUAGCGGUGAAAUGCGCAGAUACCGGGAGGAACGCCGAUGGCGAAGGCAGCCACCUGGUCCACUUCUGACGCUGAGGCGCGAAAGCGUGGGGAGCAAACCGGAUUAGAUACCCGAGUAGUCCCUGUCUCUUAUAC